rnacentral:rRNA from 1 species
UACGGAGGAUCCAAGCGUUUAUCCGGAAUCAUUGGGUUUAAAGGGUCCGUAGGCGGUUUAAUAAGUCAGUGGUGAAAGCCCAUCGCUCAACGGUGGAACGGCCAUUGAUACUGUUAGACUUGAAUUAUUAGGAAGUAACUAGAAUAUGUAGUGUAGCGGUGAAAUGCUUAGAGAUUACAUGGAAUACCAAUUGCGAAGGCAGGUUACUACUAAUGGAUUGACGCUGAUGGACGAAAGCGUGGGUAGCGAACAGG